rnacentral:rRNA from 1 species
AUACGGAGGGUGCAAGCGUUACUCGGAAUCACUGGGCGUAAAGCGCGCGCAGGCGGGCUGAUAAGUUGGAUGUGAAAGCCUACGGCUCAACCGUAGAACUGCAUCCAAAACUGUCAGUCUAGAGUCUGGGAGGGGAAGAUGGAAUUAGUUGUGUAGGGGUAAAAUCCGUAGAGAUAACUAGGAAUACCAAAAGCGAAGGCGAUCUUCUGGAACAGUACUGACGCUGAGGCGCGAAAGCGUGGGGAGCAAACAGGAUGAGAAACCCUAGUAGUCC